rnacentral:rRNA from 1 species
CGAACGCUGGCGGCGUGCUUAACACAUGCAAGUCGAACGAAGAGCGAUGGAAGCUUGCUUCUAUCAAUCUUAGUGGCGAACGGGUGAGUAACGCGUAAUCAACCUGCCCUUCAGAGGGGGACAACAGUUGGAAACGACUGCUAAUACCGCAUACGAUCUAAUCUUGGCAUCGAGGAUAGAUGAAAGGUGGCCUCUACAUGUAAGCUAUCACUGAAGGAGGGGAUUGCGUCUGAUUAGCUAGUUGGAGGGGUAACGGCCCACCAAGGCGAUGAUCAGUAGCCGGUCUGAGAGGAUGAACGGCCACAUUGGGACUGAGACACGGCCCAGACUCCUACGGGAGGCAGCAGUGGGGAAUCUUCCGCAAUGGACGAAAGUCUGACGGAGCAACGCCGCGUGAGUGAUGACCGGCUCCGGGUUGUAAAGCUCUGUUAAUCGGGACGAAAGGCCUUCUUGCGAA